CCAUCCACCCCAUUCGCCCUUGACGUCAUCAGCCGAGAGUAUGAACUCUACGUGCGUCCCCUUGGUGGGCAGCGGACGGGAUCCUGGGCAGGAAAUCAAGCGACAACGUUAUGUCGUUGCAUGGUGUUAAGGACUGACAAGUUAUCCACCUACCAAACUGGAAGACAAAGCGUAAGUCGUCUGCGCCCGGGUCAUACUUCCGGUUGAACGUGAUAAUCACGGUGAAAGGUUGUCCGCGUCGUGCGACAAGGAACUCCCGCUCGUCGUACACUGCAGCGUCUGUGAUGUCGAACUCCGCCGUGUGGUGGCGCUGCACGUUAGACCGGAUGUCGAGGUUUACUGCCGCUACACUCAGAACUUCCGGGGCACUCUUAUCUGGCGCUAAAACGAACAUUUAGUUUUUACAGCUGGAUAACUUCAUCAUAAAUGCCUGGCAAGAAUUUCGUUAGUGGAACGUGAAGACCCGGAUGCCCCUCGUAAAACGCUCGUCUAUCAACGACAGCCCCGCCAGGUGGCUUAUUGGGAGUUGCCCAUCGUGGAAAGAACUUAGUGCACAGACUACCCAUUACAGAAGCUCCAGAUUACACAUGCAUUUGCUAUAGAUAGUUUAUAAACUUUGUUUUGUUAACACAACCACGUAAUAUUAAUUAGGCUAGAACUAGAUAUAUUUAGAACCGAUA